AUCAAAAGAAGUCUGGAGCAGCAGAAGUCGGACUUCUGUAACACACCACCAAAAAAAACAUGUCGCACCAAAGAAAGCAAGGUCUGAUGUCCAGGGCCAACCACAGCAGGCUACCCCGCCACGAAGAUUAUCGACAGUAUGUUCGGUCCCCCCACUCCAAAUUUUGGACACACCUCCAAGACGUGAACCACACUCCCCUCAUCUUUAUUCUUCUAGUCCUGGUAACAGCAUCCCUCCGCAACAACAGCAACACAGUGACAUGGAUGAGACAAUCAUGUUAGAAAUGCAGCCAUUAAGCCAAGGAAUGAGCCCUCCAGCACCUUUUCUUUGCUUUAUAGUAUUAAAUAGCAAAGGCAUGCAGGUAUACAAGAGAAAGAUGACACACAUGAAACCGAACAACGCAGAAGAGCUGAAGGCCGCUAUUGAAGCAUCCUGGUCUUCCAUAACACCUCAGCAGUGCCACAGGCUGAUAGAAUCCAUGCCACACCGCAUUGAGACAGUAAUUCAUGCAAAAGGGGCCCAAACCAAGUACUGAGUACAUAUGCAUGAUUAUACUUUUCAGAGGGCCAACAUUUCUGUAUUUAAAAUCCUUUUUUUAAUUGAUUUUAUGUAAUAUUCAAA